rnacentral:rRNA from 1 species
AGUGAACGCUGGCGGUAGGCCUAACACAUGCAAGUCGAACGGCAGCACAGUAAGAGCUUGCUCUUACGGGUGGCGAGUGGCGGACGGGUGAGGAAUACAUCGGAAUCUACUUUUUCGUGGGGGAUAACGUAGGGAAACUUACGCUAAUACCGCAUACGACCUACGGGUGAAAGCAGGGGAUCUUCGGACCUUGCGCGAUUGAAUGAGCCGAUGUCGGAUUAGCUAGUUGGCGGGGUAAAGGCCCACCAAGGCGACGAUCCGUAGCUGGUCUGAGAGGAUGAUCAGCCACACUGGAACUGAGGCACGGUCCAGACUCCUACUGGAGGCAGCAGUGGGGAAUAUUGGACAAUGGGCGCAAGCCUGAUCCAGCCAUACCGCGUGGGUGAAGAAGGCCUUCGGGUUGUAAAGCCCUUUUGUUGGGAAAGAAAAGCAGCAGGUUAAUACCCCGCUGUUCUGACGGUACCCAAAGAAUAAGCACCGGCUAACUUCGUG